UUUUUGGGAUGUCCUGGUGAAAGAUCCCCGAAGGAAGACCCUUACUCAAGUCUUGGGAAGUCUCGGACCCCAGACACAUGAGAGACC
rnacentral:pre_miRNA from 14 species